rnacentral:rRNA from 1 species
GGCAGACGGGUGAGUAACACGUGAACAAUCUACCCUUGAGUGUGGGAAUAACCCGCGAAAGCGGGGCGUAAUACCGCAUGACAUCCUCUUGUUGCAUGAUGAGGGGAUCAAAGGCGCAAGCCGCUCGAGGAGGAGUUCGCGGCUGAUUAGCUAGUUGGUGAGGUAACGGCCCACCAAGGCAACGAUCAGUAGCCGGCCUGAGAGGGCGAACGGCCACACUGGAACUGAGACACGGUCCAGACUCCGUACGGGAGGCAGCAGUGGGGGAAUUUUUGCGCAAUGGGCGAAAGCCUGACGCAGCAACGCCGCCGUGGAGGAUGAAGGUCUUCGGAUCGUAAACUCCUGUCAGCGGGGGCGAAAGCCUGAGAGGGUUUGACUGUACCCGCUGAGGAAGCCACGGCUAACUCCGUGCCAGCAGCCGC